UUCUAAAACAAAUUCAUUUUCAAGACCUUAAAUAAUGGUUCCGUCUUGCAAAGAUCUGAACAAUGCACAAUCUUGAACUGAUUUGGGGCAAGUAAAGGGCCUGUUCCACUUUCACAACCUAAUUCACGACCUUUUUAACGUGCACAUUUUUCAUCGGGCUAGAAAAACGCCCUGACCUACUUGAUGCCACGAGUACCUACGAAUAGCAUCACAACCUACUUACGACCUACCUACGACCUAUUACGACCUCGUGAUGACCAUGCUCCUGAAAUCCGAACACAAGGAGAGGAACCACAAGUGUAGGAAAGCUAAUCGCAUGCCCUAACUUGUGACAGUUCAAAGCAGUUCUAAGGAUAAGUGUCUCUGAUGUUAGCACACUCUGUGCUCUCGAGCUUCAAAGUAAUCAUGUCUUAGUGAAAACUAUUGAUAACAAGCUUAAAAUGUCUCCACUUCAAAAAUUCCAUUCCAUCCACUGCCUGCCUCUCAUUUAAAUUCUUAGAAGCACUGUAGUAUUACAUGUUGAGAGACAUUUCAGUCAAGAAAUUCAAUAAAUACUUUGAACAUCAUCUUGAUGUGAGGAUCUGUAACUACCUUGAGAAAUUCUACAGUUCAAAUCUCAUCGCUGAAGUGCAGAGUGCUCCAGCUCACAGCAAUCAUCACUGUGCCAGCUGCAGAAAUUAUUAAACUACUUCUUUCUGCAUCUUGGAAUUAAGCAAGACUCCUGGUGUCAUUGUGCCACUUACAGUUACCCUGGCUCAUGCCCAGAUGUCCACUCUAUAACCAUACUACCUCAAUGUGAGCUAAACAGAAACAGAAUCAGAAAUCUUAACAAACAAUGUCAAUGAAAAAAGCCAAGAAAGGAUUACUAAUAAAUAGAUUGUAUUCAUUGCUGCCAUGGUCUAUUGCAUUUUCACAAAGUGCUUAUAGUCAUUUAAUAAAAUCAUUCGAUAAUGUUGGCCUUUAAAGCAUUUUGUUUCAGCGAUUUGCAUUCCCCAGGAGUUACUUAUAUGUGUCUGGAAACAGGUCUGAUAAUACUUUAACUCAGUGAAGAUAAUAUUGUUUAUUGUAUAUUUCCAGAAUCCAUAACUAGAAAAUUCAGCAUGAUGAUGUCAUUGCAAAUUGGAUUAAUGAUGAAGACACACGGAACUGCAGAUUCUGGAAUCUUAUGUAGAAUAUUAUAAGUGCCAGAGUAACUCAGCGGCUCACAAUGGUAUCUCUGGUGGACAUGGACAGGCGACAUUUUGAAUCGGGUCCCUUAUUCAGACUGAUUGUAGGAAAAGAGUUGGGGGGGAAGGAUAAAGCCUGGCAAUUAAUGUUGAUACAAGAAAGGGGGGAGUUUGACUGGCUAGUGGGUGAA